rnacentral:rRNA from 2 species
UGGGGAAUAUUGCACAAUGGGCGCAAGCCUGAUGCAGCCAUGCCGCGUGUAUGAAGAAGGCCUUCGGGUUGUAAAGUACUUUCAGCGAGGAGGAAGGUGUUGUGGUUAAUAACCACAGCAAUUGACGUUACUCGCAGAAGAAGCACCGGCUAACUCCGUGCCAGCAGCCGCGGUAAUACGGAGGGUGCAAGCGUUAAUCGGAAUUACUGGGCGUAAAGCGCACGCAGGCGGUCUGUCAAGUCGGAUGUGAAAUCCCCGGGCUCAACCUGGGAACUGCAUCCGAAACUGGCAGGCUAGAGUCUUGUAGAGGGGGGUAGAAUUCCAGGUGUAGCGGUGAAAUGCGUAGAGAUCUGGAGGAAUACCGGUGGCGAAGGCGGCCCCCUGGACAAAGACUGACGCUCAGGUGCGAAAGCGUGGGGAGCAAACAGG